GCGUCAUUAGCUCAGUUGGCAGAGCAGCUGACUCUUAAUCAGCGGGUCCAAGGUUCGAGUCCUUGAUGACGCA
rnacentral:tRNA from 1 species